GUCAAUCGUAGGGUGUAGGUGGGAUCAUAAGAGCUGUCUGUGGUGCCUCAUGCUGCCUCCAGCAUCCACCUUUUUGAAGAGAGUCGACUGAUAACUGAAAAUGUUCAACGCGCCGCCCGACACACAUUGAGAAAUGUCGAAAAAAAAUGGAUCUAUUGGUUGUAAUUGAAGGGCAACAUGCUGGAUGGCGCUGAUGAGGGGUGUGUCUCCUCAGAUUUUUUUUAAAUGAUGAGACAAAUGUCAUAAACAACUAAAAGCUGAUAUUUUGCUUAUGAGACGAAUAAACGUGAUCUUCGUGUUUAAAGAAAUGUCUAGAUUUUUCGCUGUUUCGGAAAAGCUUUGUCACGUUUUGUUUUCCGCAGUUACAAAUAUAGAUUCCUUUUUUUUUUAUUCCACAGAUAAGGCAAGGAAUGUUCAAGUGGCUUAAAACUACAUGGAGCCACGUGUCAGCACUGACCCAUUUUCAAACGUUGGAACCUUUAAAAGCAAAUAUUAACGAUUUCUAAAUCGUGGAGGUGAUCGUUUUGAGGAGAAUUCUAACCCAAAGGCUCCCAGUUUCGGAUGCUGAGCAGCCCAUGGGGGUAACAGCACACGGAGGGGCUGGAGGCAGAACAUAGUGGUGGGACUCGGCCUUGUGCAGCAGGCCUCGUCUGGCCCUAAGCCCAGCAUUACAGCACUAGUCUACCUCAGAGACCUCCAAAACCUUCUCCUUUGCUCACACUUACAGCUCAGAAACCCACAGGUGAGAAGAUAGCAGUACGAUUAGCAUAGUUUUACAAGAAUUUUAAAAAGCGUACGCUUUCCCAGCUUGUUCAUUGGUAUUGACAUAAAGCUCUUUUCUUUUAUUCUGUCGUACGGUUGUGGAAACAACAUCUAAACGGAGGGUUUGAACAUCUAAACGUGGAGAACAGGGGAACAAACGGAGGAGGAACGCAGCAAUCGUACAGCAAACUAACAUGGCUGCCGGUAAGCUCCCCGCUGCAUGAAAAGGCGGGUACGCUGCGGCGGGCGCCUUAGAGAAGGGGACAUGCGGCAAAGGGAAGCCUCAGAAAAACACAACUUUACAGAGUUUUGUAUCAAACUGUACCAAAAAUACACAAAAAACAAGUCUUUCUGAUGUCAGUUGCAGCCCCCGACAAGCAAAAAUAGGUCUAAAACCAAGCGCUGAUCAGGUGUGAUGUCACAAUCUCGCCACCAUUUUGAACCAAUCCCAGCCCCAGCAAGCAGAAAACGCCACAACAUCAGCCUUCUGAGAGCAAAUCAAAUAACAGCGCUAACAAAAUGUUUUUGUUCUCUUUCUAGGAUCAAUAGCAGAGCUUUAGCUUCUUGUUUUAAGGUGUGUCAGUUGUGUGUCCUGCAACAUGUGGCGGGGAGUUGAAAGGAGCCGGCAGAGCCUGCUGCUCCAUACGUGGUGGAGGGUUCAUCUGAGGAUACGGCUCUGGCUUUGGCUCCGCUGCCAAUUUCUGACACUGGAGCCUUCUGCGCGGCCUCGCCCCUGCAGGAGUGGCCCCCGCGCGAGCGGCCAUUGAUGAAACUCCAGCAUUAACAACCCCUCCUCUCUCACAUCUCCAUGACUCAACAGCCAUAAAGCGAAUAAGGGCCGACCAUAAAUGCUCCGAGUGUGUAAAGACGUAUCGCGCCGAGAUAUGAUAAGAAUGCGAGUUGGGUUCAGGCUCUGGAGAGGAGCACGAGAGCAGGCGAGGAGUUUACACUUCAAGCCGCCGCUCAAGACGGAGGUCUCUGCAGAAGGUCGAGCCGACGACCGUGCAAGCUUUAUUGAAAUAGAAGCAGCUCCAUGGAAUCGGACUUGAAGGGAGGUUUGGAGGUGUUAUCGGACCUCACAUACCGUCACAUCCUCAUGAGUCAUACUGAACUCACAGCUGCAAACACCAACUAUUACCACACACACCUGCUGAGGGGAAAGUCACACACUUUACUUGAUAACUAAAAUCUUAAAGAUACAAAGCACAGUGUCUGAAUCACAGCAAAUACAGAAGGCUCACCUUAAAAUCUGGAUUCAUUUACUAAAUAUCGUUUAAAAAAAGGCAAAAAUAUAUAAAUGUUAAUUAUUCUGAAAUCAAAUGCUGUUAAAUGUAUUUAAUUAAAAGGUGUUUUCUUUUUCUUUUCAAGAAUGACUUAUUGGAGCCUUUUAGGCCUGCCGGUCACGUCGACACAAAUGCGCCUUCCUCUCGCCGGCGCGCGGGGCGGCGGGCCCGCUCCCUCUGCGAGGUGGUCCACGGAGGGGCCUCUCGGCAGCACGCGCCUCGACAGCUUCUCUAUUACAGUUGUGACCUUUAGGGUCAAACCUCUGAAGGCUUGUGAACAGAGGCCGCGACCCCGGGGUCAGAAGUGUGACGGCAGGAGCAGGCGGGGGCCCCGCGGCAAAAGGGAGCAUGCUGUUUGCUUUGAAAGAAACACACCUCUCUGACGGUGGUGUGAACUGUUCACAUGUCAGGGCCCUCACACAGAAACAUCGGGAUUCUUUUUUUAAAGCAGCUCUUAUCAAACACGUUUGCAGCUCUC